rnacentral:lncRNA from 1 species
CGGCUCGGCCUGGGAGCGGCGGCCGCUAGGCCCGAAUGGGCUUGGCAGGGCUGGUCAGAGCGGGUUGGGCCCAACGGGCUCGGUCCGGUAGGAUAGGAAUAUAUUUCCAUGAAAGAAAAAUCUAGAAAUUCUAGAUAAUUCAUUUAAUUCGUGAAAAAUACUCCAAAAAUCCUAAAAAAUUCCAGGAAAAAUCCUAGAGAUAGAUUGGGAUACACGGAGUCCAAAUAAAAUACUUGGAACUCGUGAAAAGGAUUAUAGAGCCUUCCAAAAAUUGGAUAUAGCUCUAGGAAAAAUGAGAAUAAAUUCCAGGAAAUUUUGGAAUAUUCUCG